rnacentral:rRNA from 1 species
CGUAGGGGCGAGCGUUGUCCGGAAUCAUUGGGCGUAAAGAGCGUGUAGGCGGCCCGGUAAGUCCGCUGUGAAAACCCGGGGCUCAACCCCGGGCGUGCAGUUGGAAAACUGCCGGGGCUAGAGGGCGGCAGAGGCGAGUGGAAUUCCCGGUGUAGCGGUGAAAUGCGCAGAUAUCGGGAGGAACACCGGUAGCGAAGGCGGCUCGCUGGGCCGUUCCUGACGCUGAGACGCGAAAGCUAGGGGAGCGAACAGGAUU